UACGGAGGGGGCUAGCGUUGUUCGGAAUUACUGGGCGUAAAGCGCGCGUAGGCGGACCUGCAAGUCGGGGGUGAAAGCCCGAGGCUCAACCUCGGAACUGCCUUCGAUACUGCGGGUCUCGAGUCCGGGAGAGGGUGAGUGGAAUUCCCAGUGUAGCGGUGAAAUGCGUAGAUAUUGGGAGGAACACCAGUGGCGAAGGCGGUCACUGGUCCGGUACUGACGCUGAGGUGCGAAAGCGUGGGGGAGCAA
rnacentral:rRNA from 1 species